UUAAAUUGAAGAGUUUGAUCAUGGCUCAGAUUGAACGCUGGCGGCAGGCCUAACACAUGCAAGUCGAACGGUAACAGGAAGAAGCUUGCUUCUUUGCUGACGAGUGGCGGACGGGUGAGUAAUGUCUGGGAAACUGCCCGAUGGAGGGGGAUAACUACUGGAAACGGUAGCUAAUACCGCAUAACGUCGC
rnacentral:rRNA from 1 species